rnacentral:rRNA from 1 species
AUACGAAGGGAGCAAGCGUUAUUCGGAAUUACUGGGCGUAAAGAGCGUGUAGGCGGUCUCUUAAGUCAGUUGUUAAAUCCCACAGCUCAACUGUGGAACUGCAAGUGAUACUGGGAGGCUAGAGUGCAAGAGAGAGAAGUGGAAUUCUCGGAGUAGCGGUAAAAUGCGUAGAUCUCGAGAGGAACACCGAUAGCGAAGGCAGCUUUUUGGCUUGCUACUGACGCUAAAGCGCGAAAGCGUGGGGAGCAAACAGGAUUAGAUACCCUGGUAGUCCACGCCGUAAACGAUGAUCACUAAAUGUCGGGUUUGCAUAGCAGAUUCGGUGUUAAAGCUAACGCGUUAAGUGAUCCGCCUGGGGAGUACGGUCGCAAGAUUAAA